rnacentral:rRNA from 1 species
GACGAACGCUGGCGGCGUGCCUAAUACAUGCCAGUAGAACGCUGAAGAGAGGAGCUUGCUCUUCUUGGAUGAGUUGCGAACGGGUGAGUAACGCGUAGGUAACCUGCCUGGUAGCGGGGGAUAACUAUUGGAAACGAUAGCUAAUACCGCAUAAAAUGGAUUAUCGCAUGAUAAUCCAUUGAAAGGUGCAAAUGCAUCACUACCAGAUGGACCUGCGUUGUAUUAGCUAGUUGGUGGGGUAACGGCUCACCAAGGCGACGAUACAUAGCCGACCUGAGAGGGUGAUCGGCCACACUGGGACUGAGACACGGCCCAGACUCCUACGGGAGGCAGCAGUAGGGAAUCUUCGGCAAUGGACGGAAGUCUGACCGAGCAACGCCGCGUGAGUGAAGAAGGUUUUCGGAUCGUAAAGCUCUGUUGUAAGAGAAGAACGAGUGUGAGAGUGGAAAGUUCACACUGUGACGGUAGCUUACCAGAAAGGGACGGCUAACUACGUG